UGUGCAUCCGGUAUGCCAUGGUGGACUAAAAAAGGUUAAGGUGUUCAAUCGAAUCCUCAUUUCCAGUAUAGAGUUGCAAGCUAAGCUUCUGCUUUGUCUUUGCUUGGAGGGGGGUGUCGAGGAUCCUCAUUGUAAGAGGGCCAGGCCUAGGUUGGUUCCAAUCAAGUAUCUCAGCUUGUCGUUCGGCCUUCAACUUGUUUACUUCCUUAAGGAGUUAUAGGACAAGAGGGUCCUGAGUGGAGUCAUG
rnacentral:lncRNA from 1 species